GCUGGGCGUGGUGGCUCACGCCUGUAAUCCCAGCACUUUGGGAGGCUGAGGCAGGCGGAUCACCUGAGGUCAGGAGUUCGAGACCAGCCUGGCCAACAUGGUGAAUCCCUGUCUCUA
ensembl:misc_RNA Metazoa_SRP Metazoan signal recognition particle RNA